AUGAAAAAAUGGGCACAAAGAAGUUAAGUUGCUUGCCCAUAGUUUUUCAGAGGGUGGAGGUUUAAAUUCAAGUCUGUUCUGUCCCAGAAUCUGAACUCUUGUGGCUCAUGUUAGCUGAUUUCUAUCACAUUUGAAAUUAAUCAAAAGUUAAAUUUAUAAAAUUUGCAUUCCCCCUUUGCCCUUAUUAAACAUCCAGUAUAUCUGCUGUAUAAAAUGUUAUGGAAUCUUAGUUUCAAAAGUCAAGAUUUAACCAUAUCACAAACCUACUUUUUGGUUGGUUGAUUGUGAUUAUGAGAGAGAUUAUGACUUUUGAAACAUUGGGAAAUAUUUACUAUCAGGUGGAAAAUAUUUUUGUGAAAGGCUUGACUGCAUAUUAGUAUUAUUUUUUUAUUUUAAAUUGUAACCUCUGAAAGUCAGUAGAUAUAUUUUCUUUGUUAAAUUUUUUUUAAAAUGAGAAGGCAUCAUACUUGUUUCCUCCCAAGUAAAUUAUGUAUAUUUUUCACUUUAUAAUAUUCACUUAACAUAUUUCAUCUAUAAAUUAGACAGAACAUCCCAAUCAAGGCCCUAUGUUCCCUUCUACCCUUAUUAAAAUAUUUCUCUUUUUAUUCAUUGUAUAAUUAAAGAAAAAUAUUUUUUAAUCCUUCACAUUUUUACUCUCAGGAAACUCUUUCUGCUAGGUACAGAUUACACAAAGUAAUUGAAGACCUGGUUUAGAAAUACUAUAUAAAGUCUUUUUUGCCUGUUUGCAGUUUAACAGUUUCAUUUUGUAGAAUACAGAUUUAUGUAGUACUUAAAAGCAUGGGACUUGAAGUCAAAUAACAAGAUCCCUGCCCUUUUUUGCCAUUGAUACUGGGCAAAUGACUUAACUUUUUCCAUGCUUCUAUUCUCAAAUAGGAUGCCACCACCUUCCUGUGACAUGCUACCUUGAAACUUCAUCUUUAUAUUGGGAUUAUAAAGUUCUACCCAACCAGAAUUUAAAUAUUCCAAAAACAAAGACAUAAAACAAAAGGUACUGUAUCAUAAUAGCCAUUGGAUAUAUAAAGCAGUUUUGACAGAUCUAAGGUAGUAUUUACCCUUAUUUUCUACCUCUUAAAAUAUAACUUUUAAAAAUAUUUAAAUAUUUCAGUACAUUGUUUCUUGAUUUCUAAGUUAUUUCAGUAUAAAUUUUUCAUCAUUACUUUGAUACUUCAGUGGAGACUGAAGCCUAUUAAAAUCUUUGUCACAGAUAAAAAAACCAACAUAUUUAAUAGACUCUUUUUUAUCUUGUUUUUGUUUUUAUAACCAAGUGAUUAACUUUCAUUGUGUACAUGUGUACUUUUAAGAGUGAUUCGCACUUACCCUAUAUUGGCUCAUUAAAAAAACCAAAAAACUGUUUUCCUUUUAAAAGAAUAUAUCACCAUGAAUUCAUUGGAAGAAAGCCAUCAUGUUAAUACAGGAUAUCUUGUUACUAUUUGUAGAAUAUUUUAACAGUGGCUGUUUUUUUUCCCCCCCUGAGGUGUUUUUCCUCUCAUUCUUAAAGCAAUCUAUUCUCCUAUCCCCUACCUCCUACUACUGAUAUUUUCUUGUUGCCAUCAUUAUUCUUUAGGUUGAAAAUUGAUACACUGUUAAUGACAAUGGGUUUUUACAGCAUUGUAUUAAAUACUUUUGACUGUCUUUAAAUUUUUUCUUUACCUUUUUUCUAAUAUAACAUUUUCACCUUUUUUCAAAAUAUUUGGCUAAUGGCUUACAUUUUAUUUGAUUAUGGAAGUUGAUGGAGAGAUCUGUGAAGAGAAAAUGUAGAAGGUAGGCAUAUUUUAUAACUGUAAACCAAUACUUUGAGAAGGGUAACAGCACUUCUUUUGCUACCAGCGGCACAGGAUGAGGCAGGCCAAGAGAAGCCAGGGACCAAAGUUGAUCUUGGCUGAUAAGAGGUGACAGAUAAUGAGGAUCUCAGCAAACACAGAACUUCAGGCAGAAAAUUAGCUACGCUAGAGAGGAGAAUAUAAAUUCUCAAAUAACAGAAGGUGCAGUCUAACAACUUCAAGUCAGACAAGCUCCUGAAAGCAGAAAGUGAGUAGAGGAGCCUUCUGAACCUCUGACUUUUGUUUUUAGCCCUAAAUUUCUUAGCCCAUGUCUACUGAUAUUGGCACCAUCCUUUGACUGAUUAGCAGUAUAUUCAGUUGUUUAUGUAAUGAGACAGUGAGAGCUUUUAUUAUAGAUAGAAUGCUAUCAGAUUAAUUAUAGUCUUCAUUAUUUGUGCUCAAAUGGCAAAAUUUAUCAGUUUGGUGUACUGGAGCUCUUCAGUUACAGAAAACUUUCCAAACUAUUUGUCCCAGCCCAAAUGAGGCUACGUGAUUGAAUGGGCCCCUAACUAUCCACCCUCACUUGUAAUCCAAGUUAACCUGUUUCUUGACACACCACACUUGUUCCUCUUCCUUUAGAACAUUACACAAGUUGUUUCCUCUACCUAGAAUGCUCUUCCCUUCAGGCUUUCCAUAGCUGGCUCCUGCUAGUCAUAUCUCAGCGUAAAUGUCAACUCCUCAGAGAGGUCUUCUCCAACCACUGCCAAAUCCAAAGAAAUGGGGAUUAAUUACCUUACUUUCUGCUUAUAGCACCUACCGCUAUCCAAGAUUUUCCUGUUUAUUUACAUGUUUAUCUCCCCUCUCCCUUUACCUAUUAGAAUAAUGUAAUCUCUGUGAGAGCAGGAACCUUGUCUGUCUUGCUCACCACUUAAUCACGAGAACCUUGGACAGCCUGGCCAAGAAAUAGCUGUAGGAAUAAAUGAAUGAACUGUGUCUAGAAAAAUAAUAAAUUAUUCAGAUUAAAGAGGACUAGGAAUAAUAAAGACUUAGAGAUAAUUUGGAUCAGUGCUUCUCAAAGCCUUCUAAAAUAACCUGGCUAGCAGCAUCAGCAUCACCUGGAAAUUUACUAGAAAAGCAAAUUCCAAAGACCUACCCAAGACCUUUGAAUCAGAAACGCUGGGGGUGGGGCCUCACAGUCUCUUCUAAUAAGCCCACCAGGUGUGAUCCUGAUGCUGAACUGCUGAUUUAUACAUUCCUUUUUACCGAUCAGUUGUCAGAAUAAGUUUAGGGUUUUUUUGCUUUUAAGCCAGAUUACCAUGUUUGAAAAGUAUUUUUUUUCUGCGCAUGAGUUAGCAAUAUAUUCCUUAAAUCUUCACACAUAUAGAAGUUUCAAAAAUAUCUUAAGAUUCAGCUUCCAAAAGUAUUUUUUUUUUUUUUUGUCUCUCUCCCUUUUUCUUUUCCUUUUCUUUUUUUUAGGGCCGCACCUUCAGCAUGUGGAGGUUACCAGGCAAGGGGUCGAAUCAGAGCUGUAGCCACUGGCCUAGGCCACAGCCACAAUAACAUGAGAUUUAAGCCGCAUCUGCCACCUACACCACAGCUCAUGGCAACACCAGAUCCUUCACCUACUGAGCAAGGCAGGAAUUAAACCCAUGUCUUCAUGGAUACUAGUCUGGUUUGUUAACCACUGAGCUGCAAUAGGAUCUUUCAAAAGUGUUUUUAAAAUUAAUAUUUCCUUAUUUCUGAAGAAUAUUUUUUUUGUCUUUUGCCAUUUCUAGGGCCACUUCUGCAGCAUAUGGAGAUUCCCAGGCUAGGAGUUGAAUCAGAGACGUAGCCUCUGGCCUACACCAGAGCCACACGGGAUCCGAGCCGCUUCUGCAACCUACACCACAGCUCACGGCAACGCCGGAUCCUUAACCCACUGAGCAAGGGCAGGGAUCGAACCCGCAACCUCAUGGUUCUUAGUUAGGUUCAUUAACCACUGAGCCACGAUGGGAACUCCAUGAAGAAAUUUCUUUGAAUCUACUUUGAGACCAACUGUUCCAAGGAGUAACUAAUCUUUUAAUAAGUCGCAAACAAAGCUUGAUCAAAGAAGUGCAUUGGCAUUCUAAGGAUUAGUACAGUUUAGUAUCUCCUAUAGGUCUAUUAGAAGGAAAAUUCAGUACAAAGUCCUGUAUUUGAAGACUACUGCUCUAAACUGAAGGUUUACUCAAGGACUUUAAAAUAUUUUCGCAAUCCCCCCUUCAAUUGUAUCUGUCUCGAAAUAGUAAUUUCUACUGUCAUUUCAUAUGUACCCAUUAAGUAGUAUUUAACUAAGUUUAGUAGUAUGGGUACAUAUGAAGUAGUUUUUUUUUGUUUGUUUUGUUUUUCAAAGAAUCCAAAAUGGCAUUUGCAUUGACAUUUUGAGAUAUCGAUGUUUUUUCUAUCAGGCACAGUACCAAAGCCUUAUCUUUUUUGAUCUAGAAGAGAAUACUAGGAAAAAUAACAUGCUUAAUUUUCUGUAGGUCUAACUAAUCAUUUUUGAAGAGGAAAAAGGGUGUAGCUUCUAAUAGGUAUAGAAUCUGCUGCACAGAGAGUUCAAUAAGUGACUUGACCAAAAUCGGUAGGUAUUAUGCCUGAGAUAGGAUUCAAACAGAACUGUGUCUGAUUUCAAAGCCAGUGCUUUUUCUACCAUUCAGUGCUGCCUUCUAAUGCCAAUGUACAAAAGACCAGGUGAAUCAUCUUAAAUCAUUACGGGAAGCUAGCGGCAUAUAAAUAAUAAAUGAAUAAAUAAAAUUAUGGAAAGCUAUGCUCUUUGCUCACUAAAUAUAGUUUAAAAGUUUAACAUUACUCUCAGCAUAUGCCUAAUCACUUGAAAUUGUUGGAUCACAAUUAAGAAAUCCAGAUUCAGCAACCCUUUUAACAGGUGGGAAAAUGUUGUUUGCCAUAGAAAUGUUCAUUUUAAAAUUUUCGAAAGAACACAGUGAAUAUUAAGAUAACAUUAUUUAAAGAAGUAUUUGAAAGUGAACAAAUUUUCCCCUGUUCUAUUGCUUUAGAAAUUAAAACUACUUCCUUAUGUUAUUUCCACAUCGGAUCUUGAAGGGAAUACAAAAUUAAAGGUAAUUGCUAAGAAAUGAUUUAUAGCUGACCGCUUAUCAUUUUAUAUUUUUGGCUGCAUUAUUUAAUCCCUUUAAUACAUAUACAAUCUGUCUUUAAGUGAAAAGUACGUUUGAUUUAGUUAGAGUUAAGGUGCUUUAGUAAUAUAGGCUGUCUUAAGGAACUACUUUUAUAUGAAGACCUCGAUUUUAGGUGCUGAAAGUUUAUUUCUUAUAAAAGAUGGGAACAUUUAGUAAUUAGAUUUAACAUUUAUGAAGUGUAGAGUGUGUAGUAUAGUAUAAAUACAAGUUACUUAUUAUGAACAAUACAUGUUUCUAUGCAUAAUCCAGAUUUAUAAAUUAAUUCCAUUACUAUGAGUUAGAUUAUUUUUCAAGUCUUUUUGCUACCUUCAGCAGACUUGGGGAAAAAAAUUUCAAAAUGAGCAAGCAUUUUCAGUGUUAAAUGUUAGUUGAGAUUCCCAAGCUCUAAGGCCACCUUUUAAAUGGCCAUGUGUGGGAGAAGGGAAAUUGAAAUACCCUUUUCUUCUUAAAAGAGAAUAUAGAAAACUAAUUGGAAUCCUGGUAAGAGUUAAAAGAGGGGAGUUCCCUUUGUAGCUCAACAGUUAACGACCCCAACUAGGGUCCAUGAGGAUGCAGGUUCGAUCCCUGGGUUAAGGAUCCGGCUUUGCCAUGGGCUGUGGCACAGCUCGGAUCCCACAUUGUGUGGCUGUGGCAUAGGCCAGCAGCUGCAGCUCUGAUUCAACCCCUAGCCUGGGAACCUCCAUACACCACAGGUGCAGCC
rnacentral:lncRNA from 1 species